rnacentral:lncRNA from 1 species
AUUGUACACUUGAAGAGAAUUGUUAUUCUCUUGUUGUAAGAAGGAACUUGUGUUUCCUUGGUUGAAGUCUUGGAGUGUUGUAUCUCCGAGCAAACGUAGUUGAGGCUUGUGUCUUCAAGUUGUAAAGGAACUUGUGUUUCCUUGGUUGAAGUCUUGGAGUGUUGUAUCUCCGAACAAAGGUAGUUCAGGCUUGUGUCCUCA